UUUCACCAGAGUCAUCUAGCGGGCUGAUGAGUUUAAACUUAAAUGACUUGUUCUUUGUUAUUGUGUUUUACAUUGCUUUGUCACUGUUGAUUAUUCAGGCAACCCUGUGCAUGAGGGGACCGAAACCAAGAGCUCCAAAAUUAACCUGAAUUGGAGCUUGUCUGAACUGAACAACUUUGUGUGUCAAAGCUACCCACACAUCAGCCUAAAUCUGGUUGGCUUUGAACUGGCAAGAGCUGGAAAAGGACGAAAGGUAAAAAAAUUACAAGUGAAUUCUGUGAGGGAGCUGAAGGAAAAGGUUGGCAAAAGCAGACUCUACAUUCUACCACGAGCAGAUGUGUCACAGGUAACCUACUCAACCUCAGCAAUGUCCAGCAGUUUGUUUCCAGAACCCUCAACUGCACCAGGAGUACAGGAUGUCUCUCUAGAGGUGGAGAGUACCAACACACAACAUUUGGGGGAAGAGCAGACACUGCUAGAUUGGCGAUCUCUGCGGUCCCAGCAAGACGAAGAGUAUGAAGAGUCUUUGUUAGCAGACCAAGAAAAAGAAAGGAGAAGACAGUGUUACAAGGCCUGGGAGGAAAGACGCAUAAAAGUAAGAACUAUUACAUUUUUAGGAUGAUAGUGGUUUAUGGAUUACCUAAAGGCUUUAGUGCUCAUGUUUUAGUCAAUUGAAGAACGCCAGCAACGACUGGCGGCAUAUGAGGAACCGUCAAGUGGACUGCUGUUGAAGUUCAAAUAUCCGAAUGGAUUUAUCAGAAAGAGAACUUUCAAUGUGUCGGACCCAAUUCAGGUCUUGUUUGACUUUGUCGGACAAGAUGAAAUGGCAAGUGAAAUAUUCAGUGUUCAACAAGCAACAUCAUCCAAACCAAUUGAGAGUACCUCAUCAGGCUCACUUAUGGAUCAUGGCAUAACAACAUCUGCAACUCUGUACGUGCUUUGGAUUUCAACUCUAGAUAUUCAGGUAAAGUAAUUAAGUCCAAAUUCCAUACAGUGUCGUCUCAGUAUUUUUUAUUUUUUUCCCCAAAAUGUUUCAGAAUGCUGCAACUAGACUUUUUACUGGAUCCCAGAAACGAGAGCAUUUAACACCAGUAUUGGCUUCUCUGCAUUGGUUACCAGUUUGUUAUUGGAUUGAUUUUAAGUCUUUUAUUGGUUUUUAAAACUUUAC